ensembl:lncRNA
GCAAACACUGAACAGAGGGGCGAGCUCUCCACGUUGCGUUCUCGGGCGGCGCAGGAGCCGUCGUGCACGCGGGCCGUGGCGACCGAUUCCAGAAACGACCCAUUUCUGGGCCAGCAGAGCAGGAGGUGGAAAGAUGUCAGAGCUUCUCUGCUGGGUGACAGCUCACAGAAAGGGGAGAGCCCCGGGCUCUGAGAGGUGCUGGGGCGGUCGGUGGUGUUUUUUCUGCCUACUUGCGGAAGAUUAAGAAAGUGAGCCCGUGUGCAGAGCUCUUCAGCCAGAACUCAAGUGCCCUGAGCACACCCUGCUGCAGUCUGGGAACCAGACGUGACUUCAGGCUUCG